AAAGAAACCAACAGGGAUUGCCUCAGUAACGGCGAGUGAAGCGGCAACAGCUCAAAUUUGAAAUCUGGCCCUAGGCCCGAGUUGUAAUUUGCAGAGGAUGCUUUUGGCGAGGUGCCUUCCGAGUUCCCUGGAACGGGACGCCAUAGAGGGUGAGAGCCCCGUCUGGUCGGACACCGAGCCUCUGUAAAGCUCCUUCGACGAGUCGAGUAGUUUGGGAAUGCUGCUCUAAAUGGGAGGUAUAUGUCUUCUAAAGCUAAAUACCGGCCAGAGACCGAUAGCGCACAAGUAGAGUGAUCGAAAGAUGAAAAGCACUUUGAAAAGAGAGUUAAAUAGCACGUGAAAUUGUUGAAAGGGAAGCGUUUAUGACCAGACUUGGCCCGGUUGAUCAUCCAGCGUUCUCGCUGGUGCACUCUGCCGGUCCAGGCCAGCAUCAGUUCGUCGCGGGGGAUAAAGGUUUCGGGAAUGUGGCUCCUUCGGGAGUGUUAUAGCCCGUUGCGUAAUACCCUGCGGUGGACUGAGGUCCGCGCUUCUGC
rnacentral:rRNA from 1 species